CCUACGGGUGGCAGCAGUAGGGAAUUUUGCGCAAUGGGCGAAAGCCUGACGCAGCAACACCGCGUGAAUGUUAAGCCCUUCGGGGUGUAAAGUUCUGUCAAUGGGGCCGAAUUUUGACUGUACCCAUAAAGGAAGCACCGGCUAACUCCGUGCCAGCAGCCGCGGUAAUACGGGGGGUGCAAGCGUUGUCCGGAAUCAUUGGGCGUAAAGCGUUCGUAGGCGGUAUAUCAAGUCUGGUGUUAAAGCCCGGGGCUCAACUCCGGUUCGGCACUGGAUACUGGUAAACUAGAAUGCGGUAGAGGUAAAGGGAAUUCCUGGUGUAGCGGUGAAAUGCGUAGAUAUCAGGAGGAACAUCGGUGGCGAAAGCGCUUUACUGGGCCGUUAUUGACGCUGAGGAACGAAAGCCGGGGGAGCAAAUGGGAUUAGAUACCCGAGUAGUC
rnacentral:rRNA from 1 species